GACUAAUCGAACCAUCUAGUAGCUGGUUCCCUCCGAAGUUUCCCUCAGGAUAGCUGGAACUUUUUUUGAAUAGUUUUAUCAGGUAAAGCGAAUGAUUAGAAGCUCUGGGGAUGAAACAUCCUCGACUUAUUCUCAAACUUUAAAUAGGUAAGAUGACUGUAGUACUUAAUCUGACUAUUAGUCUCUUGAAUAGUAAGUUCUUAGUGGGCCAUUUUUGGUAAGCAGAACUGGCGAUGUGGGAUGAACCAAACGUAAAGUUAAAGUGCCUAAAAAUACGUUCAUCAGACACCACAAAAGGUGUUGAUUCAUCUUUGACAGUUGGGACAGUGGCCAUGGAAGUCGGAAUCUGCUAAGGAGUGUGUAACAACUCACCAACCGAAUGAAUCAGCCCUGAAAAAUGGAUGGCGCUC
rnacentral:rRNA from 1 species